rnacentral:rRNA from 1 species
UUGGAGGGCAAGUCUGGUGCCGCAGCCGCGGUAAUUCCAGCUCCAAUAGCGUAUAUUAAUGUUGUUGCAGUUAAAAAGCUCGUAGUUGAAUUUCGGGGUUAGUAGGUUGGUCAUGCCUCUGGUAUGUACUGGUCUCACUGAUUCCUCCUUCCUGAUGAACCUUAAUGCCAUUAAUUUGGUGUUUUGGGGAAUUUGGACUGUUACUUUGAAAAAAUUAGAGUGUUUAAAGCAAGCUAACGCUUGAAUACAUUAGCAUGGAAUAAUGAAAUAGGACGUUCGAUCCUAUUUUGUUGGUUUCUAGGAUUGACGUAAUGAUUAAUAGGGAUAGUUGGGGGCAUUAGUAUUCAAUUGUCAGAGGUGAAAUUCUUGGAUUUAUUGAAGACUAACUACUGCGAAAGCAUUUGCCAAGGAUGUUUUCAUUAAUCAAGAACGAAAGUUAGGGGAUCGAAGACGAUCAGAUACCGUCGUAGUCUUAACCAUAAACUAUGCCGACUAGGGAUCGGAUGAUGUUAAUUUUUUAAUGACUCAUCCGGCGCCUUACGGGAAACCAAAGUGUUUGGGUUC